CCUCAGCAUAUGCUCUGCCUCACUUGCUUCCUCACUGUUAAAAUGACAACGGACGCCGUCUUCGGUGCUUCCAACACCCUCGGUUCCCUCUCGCGGCCCGGCCUUCCUACGCUGCUACGUUGUGCAUUACCCACAACAGCAAAAAUGUUCCACUGGUGGUUUCAAGAUUCCUAAAAAAAUAGAUUCAAAACAUCUUUAAUACUCUCUGAAGAAGCAAUACAUCACAGGAAAAGCUGUAACCUUUCCUGUUGCUGAUACUAUCCAGACUGCGGGCUGAUGAGGACGGUAACUGCAGCCAAUUCGUAUUCUGCGUGGCUGCCGCUGGAGGUGCACAGGAGCUGGUCCACCCACCCUCCACACUCCCAACCAAGGAAGCUGCUGAAUUUCUGAGUGUUUGCCUAAUGCCCUUUUAUAUAACCUGAAAAGAGUCACAGUACUUGAAGGCAGUAUUUUCCAAGAAACAGCCUUCCCCUAUUAACGCAACAUCCCUGAAAAUAAUACUGCUGUUUCUACGGCAGUGACAGGCCCUGCAUGGAACGCAUUUUUCCUUCCUUUUUUCCCCAUCACAGAGCCACGGGCAAGAAGCUGCGGCGGCAGAGCCUCGUCAAAGCCAGCUGGACAGAGGGAUGGCUACUUGCAUUGUUAAGUAGGAGCGCUUCACAGUGACCAUGGGCCAGCCUGGAACUGCCUUCCCCCAGGACGGGGGGACAGGCGUGAGUGGGUGUGAAGCACAGGGAAGCUUCUCUGCCUGGUGAUCCCAAGAGGGCCUGCAACAGGUGCCCUGCCUGGCUGAAGGAGGAGGCUGCCGGGAAAUCAGACUCGGAUUUGCCAGGUUGUUUGAAGGUUAAUGUUAUGGGUAAUCAAAGGGAGGAGACAAAAGACAGAAAAAUGGAAACCCUUCAGAACAGUGAAAGGUUUCAUUUACCUUUGGUAAAUAAAAGUGUGUUCAUAUUUUCACAAGGAUUCUUCUAUUUCACCAGCUUACAACUCAAACCGGGCUGGGCAAACACGCUGCGAUACGGCGGUCACGGCUGUAAUUCAGAGAGAAUGCUCAGAAAUGGGAAACAAAAACACAAGGCAGGAUGCCCCUUUGUGCUGGAAGUCAGAAUCUCCAUGUGUUCUUCUCGCUGCCCGCCGAGGUCUGAGCGGGGCCCUGCUGUGAAUGACCCCGGGAACGGUGCCAGAGUCACACAGACUUGGUGCAGACAACAGAGCUACCUUUCAGGGGCUCUGUGUCCUUGGACAGGUCACUAGACUUCUCUGAACCCGUUCGCUCAUUUCCAGAAAGGGAUAAGAUCUCUCUUACAGUUCAUGGGGUGCGCAAGAAUGAUGGGUGCCAAGCCCAUGACCCCAGGUUCUGGCAAGGAAUCGGCCUCUCCAAAAAUGAUGGUUUUUAUUAUUCUCACUAUUCUAGAAAAUGUCUUUGUGAAUUGUUUGCUUGAUUGAAACGGUUUCUUUUUAAUAAAAUCU
rnacentral:lncRNA from 1 species